ensembl:lincRNA linc-29 ncRNA
AUGCCGGCUUCUUCUACCUCAGCUCAAGAUGAUGAUUCAACAGUUCUCGAGAUUUCAAAUUUAGCCCCCUCGGUUACAAAGGCUGAUUUGGAGAAGCUCACCGAAAAGUACGAGCCCGUUUCCAUCGAAAUGAGAGAUCCAGGAAAAGUGGAUAUCCGUGUGUUCAAAACAUUCAGGAAACGUUGCCGACAUUCAACAGACUUGAACCUGUGAAUGGAUUUCUCAGUGGAAUCAAAGUCCGAAACUUCAUGCUCAACAGUUCCAUUGAAACUUCGGUUCUGGCAACCAUCUCCGAAAUGGUGGAAGUGGAUAAGGAUCCUCGAGUGCAUCUGGAAAGAUUCACACUAAUUUGUCACUAUAUGAAAAAUGAACUGAGAGGACAAUCAAUCUAUGCUCAUUUGCCAGACCAUCUCAAACGAAUGGCUAGAGGUCCCCGAUAGACAAAAAUCAUGAUCCAAAGGAACACUAUUUCUAUUGUUUUACUGCAUGUAUUUAAAAUAUCAUCGCCUUCUCCCCAUUUUCUCGUGAUUCGCUUCUUCGGUUCUUUUUAUACUAAACUUCUGUGAAAUGACCUAAAUAUGUAACCCCAAUCUAUGUAAAAUGGCUUUAGAAAAUAAAAUUAGCUUGUA